GGAUGCAAUCAUACCAGCACUAAAGCACCGGAUCCCAUCAGAACUCCGAAGUUAAGCGUGCUUGGGCGAGAGUAGUACUAGGAUGGGUGACCUCUUGGGAAGUCCUCGUGUUGCAUUCC
rnacentral:rRNA from 2 species